AAAACUUUCAACAACGGAUCUCUUGGUUCUGGCAUCGAUGAAGAACGCAGCGAAAUGCGAUAAGUAAUGUGAAUUGCAAGAAUUUAGUGAAUCAUCGAAUCUUUGAACGCACAUUGCGCCCCUCGGUAUUCCGGGGGGCAUGCCUGUUCGAGCGUCAUUA
rnacentral:rRNA from 1 species